rnacentral:rRNA from 1 species
UAACCUGCCCCAGACUCCGGGAUAAGCCUUGGAAACGAGGUCUAAUACUGGAUACGAGAUGCCCCUGCAUGGGGAGUGUCUGGAAAGAUUUAUCGGUCUGGGAUGGACUCGCGGCCUAUCAGCUUGUUGGUGGGGUAAUGGCCUACCAAGGCGACGACGGGUAGCCGGCCUGAGAGGCGACCGGCUUAACUGGGACUGAGACACGGCCCAGACUAAUACGGGAGGCAGCAGUGGGGAAUAUUGCACAAUGGGCGAAAGCCUGAUGCAGCGACGCCGCGUGAGGGAUGAAGGCCUUCGGGUUGUAAACCUCUUUCAGCAGGGAAGAAGCGCAAGUGACGGUACCUGCAGAAGAAGCGCCGGCUAACUACGUGCCAGCAGCCGCGGUAAUACGUAGGGCGCAAGCGUUGUCCGGAAUUAUUGGGCGUAAAGAGCUCGUAGGCGGUUUGUCGCGUCUGGUGUGAAAACUCAAGGCUCAACCUUGAGCUUGCAUCGGGUACGGGCAGACUAGAGUGCGGUAGGGGUGACUGGAAUUCCUG